rnacentral:rRNA from 1 species
CUCGUAGGCGGUUCGUCGCGUCCGGUGUGAAAGUCCAUCGCUUAACGGUGGAUCCGCGCCGGGUACGGGCGGGCUUGAGUGCGGUAGGGGAGACUGGAAUUCCCGGUGUAACGGUGGAAUGUGUAGAUAUCGGGAAGAACACCGAUGGCGAAGGCAGGUCUCUGGGCCGUCACUGACGCUGAGGAGCGAAAGCGUGGGGAGCGAACA